CGCACAAUUUUGCUCAGAGUCACUUUGGAAGUACGUUUGAAGAGAGUGAACUUCUUCAUCACAUGAUGGCUCACAUUACAGCGGUGCAUCUUGGGCUCCUCUUUUUUCUGACCUGUUUAACAACACAGGUGGUGUCUCAGGCCACAACGUCUCCAAACAUAACUGCAACAAACCAGACAGUUAGCAAUGUCAACAGCACUAUGGCAACAACCCGCACGACAACCACUUUGGCUGGCGCUGCCUACCAGCUGCAAUCCAGCGUCGUCUUUGUGCUGAUAUCUGGAACCAUCUCAACCAUGCUAAUCCGCCAUCGCUGCUGAGCCACAUCUGUAGCUGGUCAUCAUUCUCCAUCUUCCACCUGAGUGUUGCUGAUAAAUGAACAUAGAUGCCCCUGUGAUAUUCCAGUAAUUUCACAAAAACCCCACUGAGAGCAGACACACUCAUUACAUUUACUAUGUCUUCACAGACCCCUGAAGAGCAGCAGAAAAUUGUUUGUACUGGAGGAGUGAAAGUGAUCAUCCUUUUCUUUUACUGAAAUAAUUGAUGUGUGCAGUAGUGUUUUAUAUACUGCAUUCAAAAUUCUACCAAAAUUUGGAUAUAUAUUGAGAGAGAAACCUGUAUUCAUUUUGUUUUCUUAAUUUUUAAAGCAAGGCUGUAUUAUAUCAAUAUCUUAACAGAAGCCUACAAAUGUUUUUAUUUUUCAUUGCUCGAUCUCCCCCCCGGUGUGUGAAAUCAUACGGUUGAUAUCUAAUAGAAUUACUAAUACAACGUGCCCAAUUUGCAUCAGUAAUAAUCACAAACACCAUGAAGCAACAAAAGAAUGGAAGGAUGGAAAAUAGUUGUUAUAGAGCUUUCUGCUGGAAAAGAAUAUAAAUGCAAUAUUUCUGUAGAUUUAUCUCAGGUUACCACCAUGGCUGGAUUGGAUGUUUGUUUAGAGCUGAUACACGAGGUGUUUGGUGUCAUCUAUAUCAUGAUGCCAACAGGAAUGCUGGUGUAUAGCCAUGGAAAGGGACUGAGAAUGUCGUGUUAGAUUUUAUUUUGUAUAACUCACUAUAUGCUUCAAUAAGAAAAAGAAUCGUACAAUAAAUGAACUUAUAUGAGAACUUC